rnacentral:rRNA from 1 species
GAUGAACGCUGGCGGCGUGCCUAAUACAUGCAAGUCGAGCGAACGGACGAGAAGCUUGCUUCUCUGAUGUUAGCGGCGGACGGGUGAGUAACACGUGGAUAACCUACCUAUAAGACUGGGAUAACUUCGGGAAACCGGAGCUAAUACCGGAUAAUAUUUUGAACCGCAUGGUUCAAAAGUGAAAGACGGUCUUGCUGUCACAUAUAGAUGGAUCCGCGCUGCAUUAGCUAGUUGGUAAGGUAACGGCUUACCAAGGCAACGAUGCAUAGCCGACCUGAGAGGGUGAUUGGCCACACUGGAACUGAGACACGGUCCAGACUCCUACGGGAGGCAGCAGUAGGGAAUCUUCCGCAAUGGGCGAAAGCCUGACGGAGCAACGCCGCGUGAGUGAUGAAGGUCUUCGGAUCGUAAAACUCUGUUAUUAGGGAAGAACAUAUGUGUAAGUAACUGUGCACAUCUUGACGGUACCUAAUCAGAAAGCCACGGCUAACUACGUG